rnacentral:rRNA from 1 species
GACGAACGCUGGCGGCGUGCUUAACACAUGCAAGUCGAACGGAAAGGCCCUGCUUUUGUGGGGUGCUCGAGUGGCGAACGGGGGAGUAACACGUGAGUAACCUGCCCUUGACUUUGGGAUAACUUCAGGAAACUGGGGCUAAUACCGGAUAGGAGCUCCUGCUGCAUGGUGGGGGUUGGAAAGUUUCGGCGGUUGGGGAUGGACUCGCGGCGUAUCAGCUUGUUGGUGGGGUAGUGGCUUACCAAGGCUUGGCAGGGUAGCCGGCCUGGGAGGGUGACCGGCCACAUUGGGACUGAGCUACGGCCCAGACUCCUACGGGAGGCAGCGGUGGGGAAUAGUGCACAAGGGGCGGAAGCCUGAUGCAGCAACGCCGCGUGCGGGAUGACGGCCUUCGGGUUGUAAACCGCUUUCGCCUGUGACGAAGCGUGAGUGACGGUAAUGGGUAAAGAAGCACCGGCUAACUACGUG